GAUGAACGCUGGCGGCGUGCUUAACACAUGCAAGUCGAACGAGAAGUGAAGACGGAAACCUUCGGGCGGAAGGCUUUAUUUCGAGUGGCGGACGGGUGAGUAACGCGUGGGUAACCUGCCUCAUACAGGGGGAUAACAGUUGGAAACGACUGUUAAUACCGCAUAAGACCACAGCACCGCAUGGUGCGGGGGUAAAAACUCCGGUGGUAUGAGAUGGACCCGCGUUCGAUUAGCCAGUUGGCGGGGUAACGGCCCACCAAAGCGACGAUCGAUAGCCGAUCUGAGAGGAUGACCGGCCACAUUGGGACUGGGACACGGCCCAAACUCCUACGGGAGGCAGCAGUGGGGAAUAUUGCACAAGGGGGGAAACCCUGAUGCAGCGACGCCGCGUGAGUGAAGAAGUAUUUCGGUAUGUAAAGCUCUAUCAGCAGGGAAGAAAAUGACGGUACCUUAGUAAGAAGCCCCGGCUAAGUACGUG
rnacentral:rRNA from 1 species